AUUGAACGCUGGCGGCAGGCCUAACACAUGCAAGUCGAACGGUAGCACAGAGAGCUUGCUCUCGGGUGACGAGUGGCGGACGGGUGAGUAACGUCUGGGAAACUGCCCGAUGGAGGGGGAUAACUACUGGAAACGGUAGCUAAUACCGCAUAACGUCGCAAGACCAAAGUGGGGGACCUUCGGGCCUCAUACCAUCGGAUGUGCCCAGAUGGGAUUAGCUAGUAGGUGGGGUAAUGGCUCACCUAGGCGACGAUCCCUAGCUGGUCUGAGAGGAUGACCAGCCACACUGGAACUGAGACACGGUCCAGACUCCUACGGGAGGCAGCAGUGGGGAAUAUUGCACAAUGGGCGCAAGCCUGAUGCAGCCAUGCCGCGUGUAUGAAGAAGGCCUUCGGGUUGUAAAGUACUUUCAGCGGGGAGGAAGGCGGUGAAGUUAAUAGCUUCACCGAUUGACGUUACCCGCAGAAGAAGCACCGGCUAACUCCGUGCCAGCCGCCGCCGUAAUAC
rnacentral:rRNA from 1 species